rnacentral:rRNA from 1 species
GUCCACACUGUAACGAUGAUUACUAGGUGUUGGAGGAUUGACCCUUCAGUGCCGCAGUUAACACAAUAAGUAAUCCACCUGGGAGUACGACCGCAAGGUUGAACUCAAAGGAAUUGACGGGGCCCGCACAAGCAGUGGAGUAUGUGGUUUAAUUCGACGCAACGCGAAGAACCUUACCAAGUCUUGACAUCCUGCGACGAUGCUGGAAACAGUAUUUCCUUUCGGGACGCAGAGACAGGUGGUGCAUGGUUGUCGU